AUGAACGCUGGCGGCGUGCCUAAUACAUGCAAGUCGAGCGAACAGACGAGGAGCUUGCUCCUCUGACGUUGGCGGCGGACGGGUGAGUAACACGUGGAUAACCUACCUAUAAGACUGGGAUAACUUCGGGAAACCGGAGCUAAUACCGGAUAAUAUAUUGAACCGCAUGGUUCAAUAGUGAAAGACGGUUUUGCUGUCACUUAUAGAUGGAUCCGCGCCGCAUUAGCUAGUUGGUAAGGUAACGGCUUACCAAGGCAACGAUGCGUAGCCGACCUGAGAGGGUGAUCGGCCACACUGGAACUGAGACACGGUCCAGACUCCUACGGGAGGCAGCAGUAGGGAAUCUUCCGCAAUAGGCGAAAGCCUGACGGAGCAACGCCGCGUGAGUGAUGAAGGUCUUCGGAUCGUAAAACUCUGUUAUUAGGGAAGAACAAAUGUGUAAGUAACUAUGCACGUCUUGACGGUACCUAAUCAGAAAGCCACGGCUAACUACGUG
rnacentral:rRNA from 1 species